rnacentral:rRNA from 1 species
AUACGUAGGUGGCAAGCGUUGUCCGGCUUUACUGGGCGUAAAGGAUGCGUAGGCGGAUGUUUAAGCGAGAUGUGAAAUCCCUAAGCUUAACUUAGGUGCUGCAUUUCAAACUGGAUGUCUAGAGUGCAGGAGAGGAGAAUGGAAUUCCUAGUGUAGCGGUGAAAUGCGUAGAGAUUAGGAAGAACACCAGUGGCGAAGGCGAUUCUCUGGACUGUAACUGACGCUGAGGCAUGAAAGCGUGGGUAGCAAACAGGAUUAGAUACCCUGGUAGUCCACGCCGUAAACGAUGAGUACUAGGUGUAGGAGGGUCCAACCUUCUGUGCCGCAGUUAACACAAUAAGUACUCCGCCUGGGAAGUACGAUCGCAAGAUUAAA